rnacentral:rRNA from 1 species
GAUGAACGCUGGCGGCGUGCCUAAUACAUGCAAGUCGAGCGAACAGAUGAGAAGCUUGCUUCUCUGAUGUUAGCGGCGGACGGGUGAGUAACACGUGGGUAACCUACCUAUAAGCGGGGGAUAACAUUCGGAAACGGGUGCUAAUACCGCAUAAUAUCUUCUUCCGCAUGGAAGAAGAUUGAAAGACGGCUCUGCUGUCACUUAUAGAUGACCUUGCGGUGCAUUAGUUAGUUGGUGGGGUAAUGGCCUACCAAGACGAUGAUGCAUAGCCGACCUGAGAGGGUGAUCGGCCACAUUGGGACUGAGACACGGCCCAAACUCCUACGGGAGGCAGCAGUAGGGAAUCUUCCGCAAUGGGCGAAAGCCUGACGGAGCAAUGCCGCGUGAGUGAAGAAGGCCUUCGGGUCGUAAAACUCUGUUAUAAGAGAAGAACAAAUUGUAGAGUAACUGCUACAGUCUUGACGGUAUCUUAUCAGAAAGCCACGGCUAACUACGUGCCAGCCGCCGCCAUAA